rnacentral:misc_RNA from 1 species
AACUUUCAACAACGGAUCUCUUGGCUUUCGCAUCGAUGAAGAACGCAGCGAAUGUGCGAAACGUAAUGUGAAUUGCAGAAUUCAGUGAAUCAUCGAAUCUUUGAACGCAUCUUGCGCUCCUUGGUAUUCCGAGGAGCAUGCCUGUUUGAGUGUCGUGUAACUGCUCUCAAUUUCAGUUUGAAGUUGAGGAUGUGGUUGUUGUCGUGAUCUCAUACGACUCAUCCUAAAUGCAUCGAGUGGGUCUUGGCUUUAUCGAUUCACACACAAUGUGAUAAGGAAAGCAUUGUUUAGAAUUGAGUCAGAACCUGUUUCUAAUUGUCGAAAGACACGCAUAUAUAUAUGUCG